UCCUCUUGCUGGCUUAAGAGAAGCCCAUGGUGUAACUGGAAACCCCUGAGCUCCUUGAGGCAGCUGAUUUUGUUGGACAUCAUCAUCAAGUGUUUGAUGGGGUAGGGUUAUGCUUGGUUAAAGUUGUAGUUAUUGAUGUAAAAAGAACUGACUAGAAUCGAAGUUGUAGUAGUGUUAGGUUAGGUAUAAUAGAACAACUGAAAAGAAUGGUACAGCCUAGAGGGUAAUGGUUGGGAGAACUUUUUUGUUUGUAUGACAUGUAAAACCACAUGAUUUUGCUAGUGGGUUUACAAGCAGCGUAUCAAAGAAAAUGUACAGAGAAAAUUAUCAAAUGGAAGUUUUGGCCUUCUAACCUUUUCGGAUAAAUUAAAGUAUAUUGCAAGCACAGCUCUCUGUAAUUUUCUUUCUUCUUGAAUUACCACUUAGCCCUGCAUGGGGUUGUGGCAUCAUUUUUUGUGGCCAAAGUGAUCCUUACCAGAUUUUGAGACGGGGUCCAAGUAUAAAGCAUGCAAACUUCGAAAGCUACUACUGAAGAUUUUGUUCCAUCUGGGUUACAUAUUAGUAGCAAAGUUGCCUGUCACCUGGAACUCAAUUUGGUAAAAGAAAUGAGUUUAAUUUUAGUCCCAGGAAACAAUAAUUAAUUACUAAUAUGCAUAUGAUUAAAGCAACAACAGAAUUACAACAUAGUAGUAUCUAGGGAAAGAAAAAAAUGGCAUGAUUAUCAUACCUUGUACUUUGCCUACCUCGCCAUACCAUAAAAUUAGGGCCCUCCAUUGUGUUAAAGCAUAGGUGAAAACCGUGAAAUGCAUAAAUUCAACAAAUGAACUAACAAUCUGAUUUCUCAUUGAACAUUACUGACCAUAUCGAGUUUUGCAUUGAAACAUUAAAAUUGAAGACUGGAAGAAAACAGAAAUCACAGCUCUACUAAAUGAGUAAUUCAUGCCAUAUAAUUGCAAUCUAACCAUGAAACUUAAUUAAAUUGCAUAUUCUUAUAUUUUCAUGGCAUAUAAAGCACAUUUAUAAGGGGUACUCUACAACUGAAAAAUGUGAGAUGAAAUUUUCUCACAAGAGGUCUGUUGCCCUAUAUAUCCAGCAUUGUGAUUGACACUGGAAAAAAAAACACCAAAUUGUCUCUAUCGUACCAAUCACAAGAAUUGUUUACAAUAUUGUAGGAUGAAGCAAUUCUUGUGAUAAACCAGAGUUUUUAAAAUGUGUGCAGAAAUUCUUACGUUACCAACCUAACCAGAUAAUUCACUACAAGAUGUUGAAAACUCGUCUCUUUUCUGCAUGCAAAUGAAACCCGAGUUUCCAAGAGAAGCAAGAGAAGAGUAAUGCAUCUACUGUAGCUACAGAAUCAUCCAACGAAAAAUUUCAUCAAGAAAAAAAAGGUACAGCCCCUACCUUAUUUUGCAAUAAUGUCAAAUGUAACUACAAAUACAAGCAACCAAACAGAUCCAUAGGUUUUCCUUGUUCAUUUCCCAUCACUUUUCCAAUUGACAUAUAAAGAAUCCUCUUGGACAAAAUGAUUAUAAUUUAUUAACAUAAAAGCAGAUUCUUAUAUAUGACCCUCCUUAGCAUUGUGCUCGUCUGUGUUGAAGUUGACCUCACUAACAUCUAGUUUCCUUAUUCAAUUUUUGAUCAUUUUGAAAGGUCUAUCAAGUUCCUUCAAAUUUUUUAAGUUGCCGAGUUUAAACUAUCCAGAAAAGUGGGAUCAACCAGUUUAUACUAUUAUGUUCUGUGAUCCAACAUUUUGCAUAAGCUAGAUGUCAAGAAAUACUCCCACCAUUCCAUAUUAUAAGAUCAUUAUUAACUUUUGAAAGUCAAUUCAAGACUUUUUCAAACUCAAAAUUGAUGAUAAAUUUUACAAUGGGUAAUACUUUUUAUAUAGUUUACAAUAGUCAUCAUUGUAUUAACCAAAAUUAAAUUUUAAGGAAUUUAUGUUAAUUUUGAGUUUGAAAAUAUCUCAAGUUAAUUUCAAAAAGUCAAUAAUAAAACUAUAUUUUGGAACGGAGGAAGUACUUAGUUUACUAAAAUGUGGGGCAAGAACCACUUACAGUGUCUUAAUUAUGUUUCAACUUAAUUACACAACUUCCAAUAACCAUCUCUUCAAAUUAAGUCAAGCUAAAACCUCAUUGCAAUUGGCACAUGUACUUAAUAAGAUUAGAUGGGAAAGAAAACUUGCUGCUCAACAUAGCAAACAUUUUAAUUCACAUAUGAAACAUUUCAACCAUUGUAAGAAGACCAUUACCUAGUGUUUCUCCCAAUUUGCUAUGGUUGCUGGUAGAGAUGAGUAGGGGUUAAACUAAGCCUUCAACUUUGUCCAACAAAUUGGCUGCCCCCGUGCUUGUUUUCUGAUUCUCGCAUUUAAUAGUUCAAAUAUUUUCCAUUUUACCAUGCAGUCCUCAUUCAACACUGAGAGAAAAGGGGAGUCAUAAACGUGAAAUUGUACUACACCCAAUAAUCGUCAGUGUUGGUUACAGAAAAGCAUAAUGUUUUUCUCGAACAGAAGAUUGAAAGAUUUGACAAAACAACCUUGUAACACGGGCUGUAUUGUUUACCAAAGAGGAGCCCAUUGUAGGUGCAGCUAUAUUAAGAUCCAAUCUAUAAUACAAACUCCGGAACAAAUUAUGAGAAACUUGAUGACUCGCCAAAUAUAAACAAAAUAGAGAGAAAACUAGAGCAAUUUAUUCACACCGAUGUAUAUAAUGGUGUAUUUAAAUCCACUCCUCGUCUAAUGCUCUGAAUGCAAAAGUGGUAAGUGUCGUAGCAUUAUUUAUACAGAACUAUUCUCAGAUACAAGAGUAAUCCAUCCAACUGGAGAGUAAAAUAAGCAAGAAAGCAGUGCUCAAGAUAACUGCAUAUUCUUCUUCUUAGAGGUAGGAUUUUAAGCUUGUCAUAAUUAACAGUGUUUUGCAGAAUCAUGGGUUGUAGAUUCCAAUUUCCUAAUGAGUAUUUAUCAAGCCAUUCAACAGAGUAAACAUAGACGUGGUACUAAUCAUAUAGGAAUUCAAGAAAGAAUCAAAUUUUUGCAAGAUCAGAUUGUUGAGCAAAAUACUCCUAGCAAGGAAAUGUUCAAUAGCAUCAAUUAGAAGAGAAAUAAAUAAUGAGAGAGAUUUUAGGAACCUGAAUUUUUGCUUGUGUAAAAAUUAGUCUUGGAUCAGGUAUCAAAGAUGAAGCUUUUCCAAAUGAUAAAAGGAACUUACUCAUAUACUAUUAAAAUUCCCAAAAAAUAGCAGAUCCGUAAGUAUAUAUAUAUAUAUAUAGUUCAAAAACUUCCAACUAUGCAUCCAUCCCUAAAUCAAACCAACUGUUCAUGUAUAUAUAUAUAUAUAUAGUUCAAAAACUUCCAACUAUGCAUCCAUCCCUAAAUCAAACCAACUGUUCAUGUAUAGUCAGGUCAAAAUGAUUUCUUUGAAUCCAGAAAUUUGAACAUAUUAGGAAAAUGGUAUCUUAAUUUAGCAUCUAUAUGUCAGAAAUCACUCUAAAUCUCUAAUAUGAUAGAUUAUACUGAAAUAUCAACCUCCAGUUAGCAACCAUGGGAUUAUAAUAACCUGGGAUAGGAAAAAUUUUCAAGCAAUGCUUUUCUGCCCAAGUAUCCAAACACAAUCUAUUAACUGGAUAUACAAUCAGAUCAUAAAAGAACAUGACUAAGUACAAGUACUAAUAACCACGAGCUAAUUAGCCAGAGGGAGAACAGUAAAUAAUAGAAUUUUUUUCACACACACAAAGAGAGAGAGAGAGAGAGAGAGAGAUGAAUUAACUUACUAAAAUGGAAACUUGUUGAUAUUCUUUUCAUCAUCUUCAGGGAGUGAUCAGUGAUAUGAAAUUAGGCUGAAAGAGAGAGAAUGAGGGCCAAGGGCAUCUAUUUCCCAUAUAAAGAUUUAAGGUUUUUUUAAGGAGAUAAUCUCUCUCCCUCUCCCUCCCUCUCUACAAUUUAAGAGUGGAUUGAAACAAACCUGCCAUAUUAUUAAGUUUAACCUAAAAAUUCUAAUAAGGAGUUAAUAUUCAAUCUAACAAGACGGUUCCGGAAAUAAAUCUCUUCAUAAAAGAAAGGAACUUUAAAGCUAAAAUUUGAGCACCACGUAAACCAAAAGGGACUUUAAAGCAAAUAUGAGAUUUCUAAUUUUCAUUAAUAAGCAGUUUAAGGUGUGAUCAUCAAAUAAAAAAUGCUGGAAAAAUCUAAGACGGAAAGAGCACUCUUGAAGAAAUCCCUAUCAAUUACUCCAUAUUUAAUUUGUGUGGAAAUUCCCCCUGAACAAUACUACUAAAUGGUCAUCAGAACCUAAGGAGAUGGUAAUAUUCACAGAUCUACUUAUUUGGGUCACCCUUUUACCAGAUAAGCAAAAGGAGAAAAAUAGCAAGUGUAGUGUUUUACUAUUAAAUUACAAUAAACAUGUGUAAUGUGACUGCAUUUAUUAAAAUUGAAGUAUGAAUAUUGAACGAGAUGGGUCAAAAA
rnacentral:lncRNA from 1 species